GACGAACGCUGGCGGCGUGCCUAAUACAUGCAAGUAGAACGCUGAAGGAGGAGCUUGCUCUUCUGGAUGAGUUGCGAACGGGUGAGUAACGCGUAGGUAACCUGCCUGGUAGCGGGGGAUAACUAUUGGAAACCGAUAGCUAAUACCGCAUAAUAGUAGAUGUUGCAUGACAUUUACUUAAAAGGUGCAAUUGCAUCACUACCAGAUGGACCUGCGUUGUAUUAGCUAGUUGGUGGGGUAACGGCUCACCAAGGCGACGAUACAUAGCCGACCUGAGAGGGUGAUCGGCCACACUGGGACUGAGACACGGCCCAGACUCCUACGGGAGGCAGCAGUAGGGAAUCUUCGGCAAUGGACGGAAGUCUGACCGAGCAACGCCGCGUGAGUGAAGAAGGUUUUCGGAUCGUAAAGCUCUGUUGUAAGAGAAGAACGAGUGUGAGAGUGGAAAGUUCACACUGUGACGGUAUCUUACAGAAGG
rnacentral:rRNA from 1 species